rnacentral:rRNA from 1 species
GACGUAGGGCGCGAGCGUUGUCCGGAUUUAUUGGGCGUAAAGAGCUCGUAGGCGGCUCGUUGCGUCGGCUGUGAAAACCCGCAGCUCAACUGUGGGCUUGCAGCUGAUACGGGCGGGCUGGGAUUCGGUAGGGGAGACUGGAAUUCCUGGUGUAGCAGUGAAAUGCGUAGAUAUCAGGAGGAACACCGAUGGCGAAGGCAGGUCUCUGGGCUGACACUGACGCUCAUGCACGAAAGCGUGGGGAGCAAACAGG